AUGGUGGUAGUGUACCCAGCUGUAGGUUAUUCAAAGUUUAUUGGUGAUACAGAAAAGAUUUUAAGGUUUAAGGAAGGGGUCAGGACAAGAAGGGACUUGAUUAGAAAAAUGGAGGGAGGGAUGGAAUUGGAACCUCCUGAAGGUGAAAAUCAGAAAAGAAAGAGGAAGAAGAAUUUCUGUUUAGAUUGUGAUAGAAUUAUAGAAGAGAAAGGUCAGAGCUGA